GACUCACGGGAUGUGGGUCUGGAAGGAGUUCUGAGCAGCUGAUGCUACCAGGUGGGGAGAUAGUGGGGAGGUGACACCAAACUGAAAUGAAGUGACAGGAGGAGGGCCAGCUUCUGUCAAUUCUCUCAUCAGUCUUGGGAGUUACUGGUAACUAUGCCCAUCUUGCAGAGGAGGAAGCUGAGCUCUGGCACAUGGAACUUGUCCAAGGUCACACAGCUGCAGGCACACUGGCACAGGGCCUGGCCAACCGUCUGUGGAGUUGAUCCAAACCAAUGCUGUGCUGCCCAGGCCUGCCCUGUCACUUCAGGAUGUACAAUUCAGUUAAUUCUUCUGGAGCCAUAUUCAAGCAUCAAGACUCCUGCAGAGGGACAUUCUGCCGGGGGCUCACACGAAUCACUGCAGCACGGUUGGAUUUGGUUUUAGUGCUCACUGAGGUGGCUGCAGCUUGGCGAAACCCUGACAUUAGCCAUAGCAGCUACCUGCUCACCAUUCAGAAGCCAAACACAGUGAGGUCUUGUCCCAAAUAGGAAUUGUGUUUCUGAUGUCAAAAUCUGCAAAUGGAUUCAAUUUGCACAGCAGCUGUCCUCAAAGUUGGCAAUUCGACGUCCUCUCAGACAAUUCAUUUUAAGACAAUGUGCAGUGUUUUAGUCCCAAACCUACAAAAGUCCAUAUGCAUCCCAUUUUCUCCCAAAUCCUGUGGCCUGUGGAUAUUUUCCUUCUAACUUGAAACUGACUGCUGUGGAGGCAGAAGAAAGGCAGAUCCAUGAGGCCAGGAAAGGCGGGCGAGCGGAGCCGCGUGCGGACAGGGCCCUUGUGUGGGUGAAAAGGGACAGGGCACCGGGGCAAAACGGAGCCAUUCUGUGACAAACUCACCUCCCAAAGCCACUCAGGGUGGUUGGCUGCAACAGCAGCGACUCAGAGGGAAAGGCCACUGCACCAGCCCUCAGCUCAGGGGGAAGGCGGUGAGAUGACACCACAGGGCAUUAAGCCAGGGCCCCAGAUCAGGUGUGACGUGGAAACCAAGCAUGCUUCAGGGAAGGCCUGGCAGCAGAGACCCGACUUCUGGGCAGGCAGAGCAGUCAAGGCUGCCCAGCAGCUGCUGGUGGACCCUGGGAAACCAGCUGGGGCUGCACAGGGCCAUCCUCUCCCGCUGAGCUGAUGGAACACGUAUGUCACCUCCUCCUGAGGAUGCGGCCCAGAUGGUGAGUGCGCUGACACCCGCCUUCGAGAAGCCGGGCUGCUGAGUUCCUGCUGGAAGGCACAUCCUCUUGGUAGAAAGGCCCAUCCCCAAAUCUAAUUUUAAAGAAGGCCCAUGAAUCAUUAUCCUAACUGCUCAUUACCCAGGGGCUGUGUGGGGAGCUGCCUCAGACCUUUGGGCUGCUCUAGCCCUGGGGAAGCCAGGAAGGCAUGUAUUGUUAACAACUGCUCUCCUCCAGCCCACGACCCUCUCUCAGAAACCCCCAGCUCACUGCUGCUGCCCUUUCUGCCACGAGAUGUGCCGCGUCUUCCCUUCAUCACCUGAUGCUCCUACAAAAGUGCUCAUUCACAGCGUCCCCAGGCCCCUGGACUCCAGGCCACCCCACAGCCAAACAUUAUCUUCAGAUCUAAUAACAUGCCGUGCCUUCCAAGUAGCACAGAAACCAUAUAAUGAUAAAUCAUAACCAAUAUAUAUUUUCUAUAUGACAUUAUAUAAAAUAUAAUAUCAAUCUUCAAAACUUGCCUAGAACAUAGGUAAAGGUGGUUAGUAAUUCCAUCUAUGCAUAUCCAAAUGUAUUCCCAUCUGUUUGCAAAUGUAUACUUUUCCCACUAGGAAAUCACUCCUGGCUGCCCAAACGGAGGCCCGGUGCCUCUGGUCAUGUCCACAUCUCGUCCAGCGCUUCUGCUGCCUCACCAAGUCUGGAAAGAGCUGCUCUUAUCUCAGGCUACCCACUUCCACUCCGCGCCCCUGCCUGUCCCAUCUCUUGGAAUGAGCGCCAGCUUCCUGGGAGUGGAGUGUACCUCUUUCCCAAACAGGCCCUCUGUCUGGAACGCGCCUCUUCUCACUCCCUGAGUCAUCAAUAAAUCUGUCUCACUUUGUCCUGA